CCUUAGUUGAUCUGCUCAGAACAACGCCGCGGCGUGGAUAAGACAUGCAAGUCGAGCGCUGAUUACGGGGUAGCAAUAUUCCGUAGUUGGAGCGGCGCAAGGGUGCGUAACACGUGGGUAAUCUGCCAUGAAGUCUGGAAUAACCUGCUGAAAGGCGAGCUAAUGCCGGAUGUGAAAAUUGGGAGGCAUCUUUUGAUUUUCAAAGCUGGGGACCGUAAGGCCUGGCGCUUCAUGAUGAACCCGCGGCCUAUCAGCUAGUUGGUGAGGUAACGGCUCACCAAGGCUAAGACGGGUAGCUGGUCUGAGAGGACGACCAGCCACACUGGAACUGAGACACGGUCCAGACACCUACGGGUGGCAGCAGUCGAGAAUUUUUCACAAUGGGCGAAAGCCUGAUGGAGCGACGCCGCGUGGGGGAUGAAUGGCUUCGGCCCGUAAACCCCUGUCAUUCGCGAACAAAUUGGUUCAUUUAAUAGCUGAACCAUUGAUAGUAGCGGAAGAGGAAGGGACGGCUAACUCUGUGCCAGCAGCCGCGGUAAUACAGAGGUCCCAAGCGUUGUUCGGAUUUACUGGGCGUAAAGGGUGCGUAGGCGGUCGGAUAAGUCUGAUGUGAAAUCUCCGAGCUCAACUCGGAAAUGGCAUUGGAUACUAUUUGGCUUGAGGUCUGGAGGGGGGACUGGAAUUCUCGGUGUAGCAGUGAAAUGCGUAGAUAUCGAGAGGAACACCAGUGGCGAAGGCGAGUCCCUGGACAGGUCCUGACGCUGAGGCACGAAAGCUAGGGGAGCAAACAGGAUUAGAUACCCUGGUAGUCCUAGCCGUAAACGGUGCGUAUUUGCUGUAAAAGGAAUCGACCCCUUUUGUGGCGUAGCAAACGCGUUAAAUACGCCGCCUGGGAAGUACGGUCGCAAGAUUAAACUCAAAG
rnacentral:rRNA from 1 species